rnacentral:rRNA from 1 species
UACGUAGGGGUCUAGCGUUGUCCGGAAUCAUUGGGCGUAAAGAGCUCGUAGGCGGUUCGGCAAGUCGGAUGUGAAAUCUCCACGCUCAACGUGGAGGGGCCAUUCGAAACUGCCGUGACUUGAGUCCGGUAGGGGAGUGCGGAAUUCCCGGUGUAGCGGUGAAAUGCGUAGAUAUCUGGAGGAAUACCGGUGGCGAAGGCGGCAUUCUGGACCAUUACUGACACUGAAUCGCGAAAGCUAGGGGAGCAAACGGG